GUAUUUUGUAGGUUGAGUUACUCAUGUACAAUUAAAAAUUGCCAAUUGAAGCCACUUCAUAAUAUUUGGAAGGUAAGUAUAUGGUAUCUUCAAUUCCUAGAGUUUAUAAUGUUCAUUUUCCGAUAUUGAACCUAAAGCUGAUAGUUUAUAUGGUAAAAAAAACUUCACAGAGUGCUAGAUUCUUUUUGCCUGUAAUGGCCUUUGUGUAUAUGCAUGUGCCAGAUGUAUUGUGAUUAGUUAUUUGUGUGCAUAUAAUUUUAUGUUUCAACAAUGAAUGCAUAUCUGCAUCUGCCAAAAAAAUCAUAGGGUAAAUGAGUUAGUAUGCAAUUGAAGUUUUGGUGGUGGUUUGCUGGUUGCAGAUAUGGUGAUGGUGAGCCUACUGACAAUGCAGCAAUGUUCUACAAAUGGUUUAGAGGAAAAGGAUAGAGGAGAUUGGCUUAAGAAUCUUCAGUAUAAAGUUUUCAGCCUCGAAAACUGGCAAUAUGAGCAUUUGAACGAUGUCUAACAUAUAUUUAACUUCUAUAUUUUAUUUCAUUUGGUACGCUGGCCCAUGAUCUUUAAAUAUAAUGCCAUGAUUGUUUGUUAAAGGGUUCUUGUUUAUUUACAAUGCGGGGAAACAUAUUGUGAUUGUGUUGGAUAACCUUGUCGUCAAGCAAGUUAUGUUUUUUAUUCUAUUAUUCAUCCAUUGAUUAAAAUUUCUUGGUCUUGCUUUAGACACAUGAGAUGUUUAUUUCCAUUCUCUCUCAGUUGUGCUCAUACUUUUUUAUUCGUUCAUUUAAGCCCCUAUUUGAACCCUAUUAUUCAAAAACUCAUUUUUUUGUCCAAACUUAUUCCCUUAUUGCCCAAAAGGGAUGUUUUCUUUCCAUGUCAUUAAUUGUCAAGAAUCGAAAAAUGUAAUUUAUUGUAUGUUGCAUCAUUAUGCUAAAUGUGUCCUAGGAUUAAUGUCUUACUGAUUGUCAACCUACUAUGAUUUACCUGAGCUUGGGACCGGUAAUGAAAAUUUAGGCUGAUGAUGAAAAAUUAUUCAUGUGGCCAACUCUAAAAUUUAGUGACAAGAUUGUUGUUGCGUCAUUGAACCUUUACCAGUUCUGUGUAAAUUGCAAAUAACUAUAAUUUUGAUUGUUUUCUUUCUUGAAGCAGAAUAUAUGGUGGUGGCUGUGCAAGGUUUGUUGAAUCAUGCUAAAUGUAACAUUUGUGGAUGUCUGGGUUGUAUUUAUCUUUUCAUUCGCAUCAGUUUUAUACAUUCCUGUUUUUCCACAACUGGAUAUACUUAAUAUGUGUUUUGGAUCUUGUAAUGCUUGUUAUUGCAUUAAUUCUCUUGAAGGUUAUGAAAUUUGUAUUAGUUAAUCAGAAU
rnacentral:lncRNA from 1 species